GUUCACCAAGUCAUUACCUAAAUCAAGAUUCAAGCAUUGCUUGGACUUGAUCAAGUUCGUCGAAGAGUAAUUCCCUUUUGGAGAGAGCAGCAUGGUGGUUGAUGGUUAAACUGACAUCACCACCAAAUUAGAAGUCAAGGUGGAGAAAUGUUGAUAUUGGCUUCAAAUUUGUGGUCUGGAAGAACAGAGAAAUCGUGACACGAUUUCAAGGUGCCGUGAGCUAGUUUGCAGGACGCCAAAUCGUGGCACGAUCUUGGGAAAUCGUGACACGAUUCAGAAACUUGCUCGUUAAGUAUCACUAAUAAGGACUUGUCAACCUUGGGUCAGAUGCAAAUCGUGACACGAUUGUGGGAAAUCGUGGCACAAUUUCUUCAGAGGAAGACUAGUAUAUAUUGU
rnacentral:lncRNA from 1 species